AACGAACGCUGGCGGCGCGCCUAAUACAUGCAAGUCGAGCGAGAAGACGUAGCAAUACGUUUGUAAAGCGGCGAACGGGUGAGGAAUACAUGGGUAACCUACCCUCGAGUGGGGAAUAACUAGCCGAAAGGUUAGCUAAUACCGCAUACGACUCCUGGUCUGCGGAUCGGGAGGGAAAGCGAUACCGUGGGUAUCGCGCUCCUGGAUGGGCUCAUGUCCUAUCAGCUUGUUGGUGAGGUAACGGCUCACCAAGGCUUCGACGGGUGGCUGGUCUGAGAGGACGAUCAGCCACACUGGCACUGCGACACGGGCCAGACUCCUACGGGAGGCAGCAGUAAGGAAUAUUGCGCAAUGGGCGACAGCCUGACGCAGCGACGCCGCGUGGGGGAUGAAGGUCUUCGGAUUGUAAACCCCUUUCGGCAGGGAAGAUGGAACGGGUAACCGUUCGGACGGUACCUGCAGAAGCAGCCACGGCUAACUUCGUGCCAGCCGCCGCGGUAACAC
rnacentral:rRNA from 1 species